rnacentral:rRNA from 1 species
AUGAACGCUAGCUACAGGCUUAACACAUGCAGGUCGAGGGGCAGCAUUUCAGUUUGCUUGCAAACUGGAGAUGGCGACCGGCGCACGGGUGAGUAACACGUAUCCAACCUGCCGAUAACUCGGGGAUAGCCUUUCGAAAGAAAGAUUAAUACCCGAUGGUAUAAUCAGACCGCAUGGUCUUGUUAUUAAAGAAUUUCGGUUAUCGAUGGGGAUGCGUUCCAUUAGGCAGUUGGUGAGGUAACGGCUCACCAAACCUUCGAUGGAUAGGGGUUCUGAGAGGAAGGUCCCCCACAUUGGAACUGAGACACGGUCCAAACUCCUACGGGAGGCAGCAGUGAGGAAUAUUGGUCAAUGGGCGCAGGCCUGAACCAGCCAAGUAGCGUGAAGGAUGACUGCCCUAUGGGUUGUAAACUUCUUUUAUAUGGGAAUAAAGUUUUCCACGUGUGGAAUUUUGUAUGUACCAUAUGAAUAAGGAUCGGCUAACUCCGUGCCAGCAGCCGCGGUAAUACGGAGGAUCCGAGCGUUAUCCGGAUUUAUUGGGUUUAAAGGGAGCGUAGGUGGACAGUUAAGUCAGUUGUGAAAGUUUGCGGCUCAACCGUAAAAUUGCAGUUGAUACUGGCUGUCUUGAGUACAGUAGAGGUGGGCGGAAUUCGUGGUGUAGCGGUGAAAUGCUUAGAUAUCACGAAGAACUCCGAUUGCGAAGGCAGCUCACUGGACUGCAACUGACACUGAUGCUCGAAAGUGUGGGUAUCAAACAGGAUUAGAUACCCUGGUAGUCCACACAGUAAACGAUGAAUACUCGCUGUUUGCGAUAUACAGUAAGCGGCCAAGCGAAAGCAUUAAGUAUUCCACCUGGGGAGUACGCCGGCAACGGUGAAACUCAAAGGAAUUGACGGGGGCCCGCACAAGCGGAGGAACAUGUGGUUUAAUUCGAUGAUACGCGAGGAACCUUACCCGGGCUUAAAUUGCAUUUGAAUAUAUUGGAAACAGUAUAGCCGUAAGGCAAAUGUGAAGGUGCUGCAUGGUUGUCGUCAGCUCGUGCCGUGAGGUGUCGGCUUAAGUGCCAUAACGAGCGCAACCCUUAUCUUUAGUUACUAACAGGUCAUGCUGAGGACUCUAGAGAGACUGCCGUCGUAAGAUGUGAGGAAGGUGGGGAUGACGUCAAAUCAGCACGGCCCUUACGUCCGGGGCUACACACGUGUUACAAUGGGGGGUACAGAAGGCAGCUACCUGGUGACAGGAUGCUAAUCCCAAAAGCCUCUCUCAGUUCGGAUCGAAGUCUGCAACCCGACUUCGUGAAGCUGGAUUCGCUAGUAAUCGCGCAUCAGCCAUGGCGCGGUGAAUACGUUCCCGGGCCUUGUACACACCGCCCGUCAAGCCAUGAAAGCCGGGGGUACCUGAAGUACGUAACCGCAAGGAGCGUCCUAGGGUAAAACUGGUAAUUGGGGCU